rnacentral:rRNA from 1 species
UACAGAGGGUGCGAGCGUUAAUCGGAAUUACUGGGCGUAAAGCGCACGCAGGUGGCUGAGUCAGUCGAUUGUGAAAGCCCUGGGCUUAACCUGGGAAUUGCAGUCGAUACUACUCAGCUAGAGUAUGGGAGAGGGCAGUGGAAUUCCCGGUGUAGCGGUGAAAUGCGUAGAUAUCGGGAGGAACAUCAGUGGCGAAGGCGGCAUCCUGGACCGAUACUGACGCUGAGGAGCGAAAGCCAGGGGAGCAAACGGG